UUGACGAGGUUCGGUGCUUAGCGGAAUCGACUUACUUCCUGGCAUCGGAUCGCAUCGGUCCUAACGGUGGUCUUACUUCAUCACGGGAUGCUAACCAAAGUUAUUUUGAGCAUAGACUCCGCCUCGUCGGGCAGGUGUUGUACCUAUGACGAAAAUGAAAAUGAAUACCAUGCAAAACAACAAAACGAAAAACAGGUAGCGUGAACUGUGACGCUAGAGACCUCAGGAAAGUAUUAAUGAAAAUGUAUCGACUAUAGACACGGUAGGAAAGACAUUUGAUCAUAUUUACAGGAUAAAAAGUUCGGCUUAAGGUAAAAUAUCCUCAACCGAGAGGCACAGGGGAUGUUGGUUACGAUAGACAAGCUCAUAGCUGUGAGACAGGCGAACGACGCGUAGCUACGGUAAGCCGGCAACAGUCGAUUACGCGACGGUCCGCCGGAUUCAAGAGCUGUAAACCGGACGGAGAAUUGCUGCCAUAGUGAUGAUGACAAGCCUUCGAACUCUAAGGUUCCUUCAACCUUCUGACUUGAGACUUAGCGCGAUCGCUAGGCAGUAUCUGAUCGUGGCGUUUGUUGUAGCAGUCAGCUCUAUGAACAGCUGAUAGACGAAAGUUGAAAAUCUGAAUAAUCAGAUACAGGGAGAAGUACCAAAACUCCUGCGACAGGGGGAGGUACAACACCAAAGGUGAGGACGGAGGACGCUUGAUGGAUGCUGCAGGGCACAACUUGAAUUGGAGGGUGGGUGCAAUUUUAAUUGAGUACAAUAAAGUAUAGUCGUUGUUCUGAGUAUGCAGUUGCAUGUCUACAGUCAAUGCGGACUCUUGCAUUCUUGGUUGCGCACCCACGUGCGAGAUGAGGUAACUAAUUCGAGUGAAGCCUUGGUGCAUGGCAAAAAGCAAGGAAGCUUCCGAUUCCGAUUUAUUCAGUUUAAGGGCUCACUGAAGUCUGCAGGGUCUUUUCACCAAUAGCUGCGUAUGCAGGUGGGCGUCUGUCUUGGAGCAACUGGGUCAUUGGUGGACGAGCGUAUAGACACAAUCCGAAUCAAAGCGGAUUCUUCAACAUCUCGCUCAUCUGCGUCCAUGCCCCGACGGCAGAGAAGGACGAGGCUUCCCAAGACGUCUAUGAUAUGAGCGCUAUCCCUGUCACAAUAUCAAAAUCGUGCUUGGCGAUACCAAUGUGGGCAAGAAGGGAUCUUUGGUGCCACUGUUUAGCCUCCACGACGAAUCGUCGAUGGCGGAUUGAGGCUGAUCGACUUCGCGGGUGCCCAAAAUAUGGUAGUAAAAAUAUCCAUCAAGUUACUUGGCUGUCUCCAGAUCGGGAAACGAGAAAUCAAAUCGAUCAUGCUGUGAUAGACAGAAGGCACACUGUCAGUGUUUUAGACCUACGUACACUCCGAGGGCUAACAUCGUGGCAAGAAGCUGCACAGCUAUACGUAUUAUCCGCAAUAAAGUUUCCUCUGCGUUAGAAAAAAUUAGGAGUUGAGUGGCUAAGUUUCACUAUUGCUGUGCUUCUAUUUGUUACCAGCUAGUGAGAAAGAGGAACGACUGAACUCGGCCAAAAUCGCUUACGCAGUUCAGCGCCAAGUAAGAAGAAGCCGUGAAGCCAAUUUUAUUACAUAAUUGACUAAAAUAGUAGUACAUCUUCCUAAACAGCGCUUCGGUCUUUUAGGUUUUUAGCAGACAACAUCAGAGUUAAAUAACUUAAAGAAGAACAUGACACUUCACCUGCAUAUUUGGUACUUUUAUUUGUAUAUAUAUACGAGUAUUUGUUUCAUGUUCGCGCAGAAGAAUUCUCAAAUUCAUAUUAUUCAUUGAUCUUUUCGUCAAAUCUCUGGAAUUUGUACAACAAAAGCAAAAAAUUUAAAUCAUGCAAUAGGCACUUUGUGAACCUCGAAUCGGCCUGAGCUGGAUACAAUUCUAAAUCGCAUUCCCACAUGCAACUGACGAUCAACAAUCAAAUCACGAAAAAAUCGAAAUUCAAACUAAAGCAAUUCAGCCAAAUCGGCUAAAUUGGACACGAAUAAGCAACGCAUUAAAAACCGCUUUAAUAAAUACAAGUAUUUUGCACAACUA